rnacentral:rRNA from 1 species
AGGUGACUCAGCAGCCGCGGUAAUACGGAGGAUGCGAGCGUUAUCCGGAAUUAUUGGGUUUAAAGGGUGCGUAGGCGGAAUGGUAAGUCAGCGGUGAAAUACUGCAGCUCAACUGUAGUUGUGCCGUUGAUACUGUCCUUCUUGAGUAUAGAUGAGGUAGGCGGAAUGAGUAGUGUAGCGGUGAAAUGCAUAGAUAUUACUCAGAACACCGAUUGCGAAGGCAGCUUACUAAACUAUAACUGACGCUGAACGCACGAAAGCGUGGGUAUCAAACAGGAUUAGAUACCCUGGUAGUCCACGCUGUAAACGAUGAUUACUGGUUGUUUGGGCGAAAGAGCUCAAGCGACUGCGCG